rnacentral:rRNA from 1 species
AUUGAACGCUGGCGGCAGGCCUAACACAUGCAAGUCGAACGGUAGCACAGAGAGCUUGCUCUCGGGUGACGAGUGGCGGACGGGUGAGUAACGUCUGGGAAACUGCCCGAUGGAGGGAGAUAACUACUGGAAACGGUAGCUAAUACCGCAUAACGUCGCAAGACCAAAGUGGGGGACCUUCGGGCCUCACACCAUCGGAUGUGCCCAGAUGGGAUUAGCUAGUAGGUGGGGUAAUGGCUCACCUAGGCGACGAUCCCUAGCUGGUCUGAGAGGAUGACCAGCCACACUGGAACUGAGACACGGUCCAGACUCCUACGGGAGGCAGCAGUGGGGAAUAUUGCACAAUGGGCGCAAGCCUGAUGCAGCCAUGCCGCGUGUAUGAAGAAGGCCUUCGGGUUGUAAAGUACUUUCAGCGGGGAGGAAGGCGGUGAAGUUAAUAACUUCACCGAUUGACGUUACCCGCAGAAGAAACACCGGCUAACUCCGUGCCAGCCGCCGCCGUAA